AAAACGGCCCUUUUCAGGGCCAAAAUUACGAUUAAAGAGUUGUUUU
rfam:Aedes aegypti strain Liverpool supercont1.2 genomic scaffold, whole genome shotgun sequence.